UAUUGACUGUGCACCAUGACUUGGAGAUCAUUGUGUUCAAUGGGAUAACAUUAUGGGGGAAUUUAUUACCAGUUGGACCUUUAAGAGAAUCAUGUUGAUCGACUUGACUCAACUCAACUUCUUCAGUGACCAUCACGAUAGGAGCAUAUCAUGUUGAUCGACUUGACUCGACUCAAUUCGACUUCUUCAGUGACCGUCACGAUAGGAGCAUAUUAGGUUGAUCGGCUUGACUCGGCUCAACUUGACUUUUUCAGUGACCAUAAUGAUAGGAGCAUAUCAGGUUGAUCAACUUGACUUCUUCAGUGACCAUCACGAUAGGAGCAUAUCAUGUUGAUCGACUUGACUCGACUCAACUCUACUUUUUCAGUGAUCAUCACGAUAGGAGCAUAUCAGUGACCAUCACGAUAGGAUCAUGUCAUGUUGAUCGACUUCACUCAACUUGAUUUCUUUAGUGACCAUCAUGAUAGGAAGCAUAUCAUGUUGAUCGACUAGACUCGACCCAACUUCAGGGACCAACACGUGUAUCAAGACA